rnacentral:tRNA from 1 species
AGUGAUGUAGCCCAGUCAGUAGAGUGCUUGCAUAUCACGUAUGAAGCCUGGGUUCAAUUCCCAGCACCACAU